rnacentral:rRNA from 1 species
GAAGGUCACGGCGAGACGAGCCGUUUAUCAUUAACGAUAGGUGUCAAGUGGAAGUGCAGUGAUGUAUGCAGCUGCAUCUAACAGACCGGUAGACUUGAAC